GACGAACGCUGGCGGCGUGCUUAACACAUGCAAGUCGAACGGAAAGGCCCCUUUGGGGGUACUCGAGUGGCGAACGGGUGAGUAACACGUGAGUAACCUGCCCUUGACUUCGGGAUAACUUCAGGAAACUGGGGCUAAUACCGGAUAGGAAUCCUUGCUGCAUGGUGGGGGUUGGAAAGCUUCGGCGGUUUUGGAUGGACUCGCGGCUUAUCAGCUUGUUGGUGGGGUAGUGGCUUACCAAGGCUUUGACGGGUAGCCGGCCUGAGAGGGCGACCGGCCACCUUGGGACUUAGAUACGGCCCAGACUCCUACGUUAGGCCGCAGUGGGGAAUAUUGCUCAAUGGGCGGACGCCUGAUGCAGAAACGCCGCGUGCGGGAUGACGGCCUUCGGGUUGUCAACCGCUCUCAGCAGGGGCGAAGCUUGUGGUGACGGUACCUGCAGAAGAAGCACCGGCUAACUACGUG
rnacentral:rRNA from 1 species